GAUGAAGAACGUAGCGAAAUGCGAUACUUGGUGUGAAUUGCAGAAUCCCGUGAACCAUCGAGUCUUUGAACGCAAGUUGCGCCCGAAGCCAUUAGGCCGAGGGCACGCCUGCCUGGGUGUCACACGUCGUUGCCCCCCCAUCUACUCCUUCGGGAUUGCGGGGGGCGGAUGAUGGUCUCCCGUGCGCCUCGUCGCGCGGUUGGCAUAAAUGCCAAGUCCUCGGCGACGCACGCCACGACAAUCGGUGGUUGCGAAACCUCGGUUGCCCGUCGUGUGCGGUCGUCGCGCAUCGAGGGCUCGAAAAAAUUGCCGGGCUCCGGCUCGGCUUUCAACGCGACCCCAGGUCAGGCGGGGUUACCCGCUGAAUUUAAGCAUAUCAAUAAGCGGAGGA
rnacentral:misc_RNA from 1 species